AACUAAUCAGGGGAGAUCACUUUCAAGAACUUUAUUAAUGGUGUUGUUUUUAGACCUUACUCUUUGUUUUAAUUGCAAUUUAAAGGAAGCCUCAUUGCCAGUCUGAAGUGUUGCAAAUAGGGAUUCCCCCUAGAUACCUCACAGUUGUGACAUUCGGAAGGAAACUGUUAUGGGCUCUUCUUCUCAAUGCUACAAUUGAAGUCAUGAUGCAAGGAUUUAACUGGCGGAUUUCUACAGAGCCUUGUUAAUUUAUGGUAACAAAAACAUGAUGGGCCAGUAAACAUUUGUGCAGAAGAAAACAACUUUGAAUGUGGUGCUUUACAAGAGGUUGGAGACUACAUGAGACUUUGACAGAUGGCGGGAAACCCUUCUCAACUGGUACGAAGCCGGUAAAUAGAUGGCCAUAAAACAGUGACCGCUGAUUCGCGUCGAGUUCUUUCUUGCAUAACGUAGAGAAAUGUCUGGGACUUAGCCGAGGGCAACUGGAGAAGGGUUGUUGAUGGCAAAACAGGUUGGAGACUACAUGAGACUUUGACAGAUGGCGGGAAACCCUUCUCAACUGGUACGAAGCCGGUAAAUAGAUGGCCAUAAAACAGUGACCGCUGAUUCGCGUCGAGUUCUUUCUUGCAUAACGUAUGACCCCCCUUU